UACGAAGGGGGCUAGCGUUGCUCGGAAUCACUGGGCGUAAAGCGCACGUAGGCGGCUUUUUAAGUCAGGGGUGAAAUCCUGGAGCUCAACUCCAGAACUGCCUUUGAUACUGAGAAGCUUGAGUCCGGGAGAGGUGAGUGGAACUGCGAGUGUAGAGGUGAAAUUCGUAGAUAUUCGCAAGAACACCAGUGGCGAAGGCGGCUCACUGGCCCGGUUCUGACGCUGAGGCGCGAAAGCGUGGGGAGCGAACAGG
rnacentral:rRNA from 1 species